UCUCUAUGAUGAUGAACAUUGAUCAAAGAUGACGAGUCCGAUGUUUAUCCAUUCACCUUGACGACAAAACGAGGCAUUUGUCUGAGAGAA